UCUAGAUUAUGCUCUGAGAAUAGAAUGUUCCCUGCAUAAAGAGCACGGCUGGAGUAAAUCAAUGAGGAUGCACUCAGAAACAUCAAUUAAAGAAAGCUGCUCCCUUUUCGUCACAGCCUGGAUAAUGAAUUGCAGUGUACAAAGCCAGUCAUACAAUACGCAGCAACGGCAGCACGGAGCAAGAAUCUUUGGGAAGAGUUUCCAUAGAAACAUUGACGUCUUCCUGGUGAACAGGACACUGAGUUCCUUCAAUGGGAGGUAUGAGGUUUUAAAGGAGCAGUGAGAUGGCAGGAAGCCAAGAUGGCAGAGCUAUGACUCUGCAUCUCCCAGCAGAAUAGGGGGUUGGAGCUGGUAGGAGGGGAAGAAAAAAAUUACCCAAUUACCCUUACAUAUCAAAAUGUCCGAUUUGAUGGUUGCUGCUUGAACAGUACUGUUCAGAGCCUGGUAAAUAAUUAAACUGCUGACCGCAACAUAUGUGAGACCUGGCAGCCAAAAAUCAUAAAUACUCAAGGCUGUGAACUAGCAGCUUCUAAAAAAUCUUGUCAGAUUUUGCCACAGACUUCAUCAGCAGAAGCCUUAAAUUCAGUGCAAAUUGGCAUGAUGCAGGCACAAACCUCCCAGGGACGAACAAGGUUGCACUCGAUGAUGCGCACCCUCCCCUUCCCUGCUUGUCUUGGAAUGAGACAAUGCUUUGCUAAUGUUCCAGCUCUGUGUCUUAAAUAGCCCUGCGUCUACCCAGCUAAAUAGUGGCAGAGUAGCCCUGUCUGGAAGAAGGCUGUUUCUAGAAGGAAAACAGUCAGAGGAAAUGUUUUUGCCAGAAAUGUUGGAAGUCAUACAAAACAAAAAGGCAGCAUGUGAAACAAUUUUUUGUUCAGGCUCACAAAAUGCUUCUUUUCAGAGCAAUUUCCAGAUAAGACCAAUGAAGACGACAGUCCCUUCUCGGAAAGAGUGUGACCCACCCCACGGCCCAUCUGAUGCCAGAUUCCAGAUGGGUUCUGCAGUGGCAGCUCUAACUCCUGCCCCAAGUUGCCUGGGCUCUCCGAGCACCCCAGUGCUUGCUAAGAAUGACCCUGGAACUGAACUAAGCCUGUACCAAGUGC